rnacentral:rRNA from 1 species
AAUGCUAAGAGAAUGGAAUUUCAGAAAAAAGCUAUUUUAAAAUUAAAAAUUGAACUUUUUUUAAUUUGUGCAGAAACAAUUAUUUAAAUUAAGGACAAGAAGACCCUAAGAAUUUAACAGUUUAAAUAAUUCAUUAAUGAUUAAUUAAAUUUUAGCUGGGGCGGCUAAGAAAUAUUAAAAACUUUUUAAUUUAAUAUGACCCAUUAUUAAUGAUAACAUGAAAAAAUACUCUAGGGAUAACAGCGUU